GUGAAUUACCAUAGGGCCAUAAA
rnacentral:miRNA from 1 species